rnacentral:rRNA from 1 species
AUUGAACGCUGGCGGCAUGCCUUACAUAUGCAAGUCGAACGGCAGCACGGGAGCAAUCCUGGUGGCGAGUGGCGAACGGGUGAGUAAUGUAUCGGAACGUGCCCAGUCGUGGGGGAUAACGUAGCGAAAGCUACGCUAAUACCGCAUACGAUCUGUGGAUGAAAGCGGGGGACCGUAAGGCCUCGCGCGAUUGGAGCGGCCGAUAUCAGCUUAGGUAGUUGGUGGGGUAAAGGCCUACCAAGCCGACGAUCUGUAGCUGGUCUGAGAGGACGACCAGCCACACUGGGACUAAGACACGGCCCAGACUCCUACGGGAGGCAGCAGUGGGGAAUGUUGCACAAUGGGCGCAAGCCUGAUCCAGCAAUGCCGCGUGCAGGAUGAAGGCCUUCGGGUUGUAGACUGCUUUUGUACGGAGCGAGAAGGCUCUCUCUAAUACAGGGGGCUCAUGACGGUACCUUGCGAGAAAGCCACGGCUAACUACGUGCCAGCCGCCGCGGUAAGAC